rnacentral:rRNA from 1 species
UGGACUACCAUGGCAGUCACGGGUAACGGAGAAUUAGGGGUUCGAUUCCGGAGAGGGGAGCCUGAGAAACGGCUACCACAUCUACGGAAGGCAGCAGGCGCGUAAAAUUACCCAAUCCUGAUUCAGGGAGGUAGUGACAAGAAAUAACAACUCGGGGCCUCACGGCUUACGAGAUUGCAAUGAGAACAAUUUAAAUCUCUUAGCGAGGAACAAUUGGAGGGCAAGUCUGGUGCCAGCAGCCGCGGUAAUUCCAGCUCCAAUAGCGUAUAUUAAAGUUGUUGCAGUUAAAAAGCUCGUAGUUGAAUUUCUGAUUAUGGAUGUAGCGGUUUCCGUUACAUUUGUAGUCAUCCACAUGAGAACCUUUCUCGGCCUUCACUGGUCGGUUGGGGGAUCAUGUACUUUACUUUGAAAAAAUACAGAGUGUUCUAGGCAGGCGUUUGCAUGAAUACACAAGCAUGGAAUAAUGGAAUAGG